rnacentral:tRNA from 1 species
CGAAGUUAUAGGUUAAUUAAAACCUUGGGCCUUCAAAGCCUAGAAUGCUCUGCUGACUUCGU